GAUGAACGCUGGCGGCGUGCCUAAUACAUGCAAGUCGAGCGAACGGACGAGAAGCUUGCUUCUCUGAUGUUAGCGGCGGACGGGUGAGUAACACGUGGAUAACCUACCUAUAAGACUGGGAUAACUUCGGGAAACCGGAGCUAAUACCGGAUAAUAUUUUGAACCGCAUGGUUCAAAAGUGAAAGACGGUCUUGCUGUCACUUAUAGAUGGAUCCGCGCUGCAUUAGCUAGUUGGUAAGGUAACGGCUUACCAAGGCAACGAUGCAUAGCCGACCUGAGAGGGUGAUAGGCCACACUGGAACUGAGACACGGUCCAGACUCCUACGGGAGGCAGCAGUAGGGAAUCUUCCGCAAUGGGCGAAAGCCUGACGGAGCAACGCCGCGUGAGUGAUGAAGGUCUUCGGACCGUAAAACUCUGUUAUUAGGGAAGAACAUAUGUGUAAGUAACUGUGCACAUCUUGACGGUACCUAAUCAGAAAGCCACGGCUAACUACGUG
rnacentral:rRNA from 1 species